rnacentral:rRNA from 1 species
AAUAUUGCACAAUGGAGGAAACUCUGAUGCAGCGACGCCGCGUGAGUGAAGAAGGUCNNNGGAUCNUAAAACUCUGUCCUUGGNGAANAUAAUGACGGUAGCCAAGGAGGAAGCCCCGGCUAACUACGUGCCAGCAGCCGCGGUAAUACGUAGGGGGCUAGCGUUGUCCGGAUUUACUGGGCGUAAAGGGUGAUUAGGCGGUUACAUAAGUCAGAUGUAAAAGGCUAAGGCUUAACCAUAGUAUGCAUUUGAAACUGUGUGACUUGAGUACAGGAGAGGUAAGUGGAAUUCCUAGUGUAGCGGUGAAAUGCGUAGAUAUUAGGAGGAACACCAGUGGCGAAGGCGACUUACUGGACCGUAACUGACGCUGAGUCACGAAAGCGUGGGGAGCGAACAGG